rnacentral:rRNA from 1 species
UACGUAGGUGGCGAGCGUUGUCCGGAUUUAUUGGGUUUAAAGGGUGCGUAGGCGGCUAUUUAAGUCAGUGGUGAAAUACGGCAGCUUAACUGUCGAGGUGCCAUUGAUACUGGGUAGCUUGAGUACUGAUGAGGUAGGCGGAAUGGACGGUGUAGCGGUGAAAUGCUUAGAGAUCGUCCAGAACACCGAUAGCGAAGGCAGCUUACUAAGGAGUAACUGACGCUGAGGCACGAAAGUGUGGGGAUCAAACAGG